rnacentral:rRNA from 1 species
CCUACGGGUGGCAGCAGUGGGGAAUAUUGGGCAAUGGGCGAAAGCCUGACGCAGCGACGCGUGGAGAAAGAAGGCUUUCGGGUUGUCAACUUCUUUUGUCAGGGACGAAGCAAGUGCCGGUACCUGACGAAUAAGCCAUGGCUAACUACGUGCCAGCAGCCGCGGUAAUACGUAGGUGGCAAGCGUUCUCCGGAUUGAUUGGGUGUAAAGGGCGUGUAGGCGGGAAGGCAAGUCAGAGGUGAAAACUAUGGGCUCAACCCAUGGCCUGCAUUUGAAACUGGAUUUCUUGAGUGCUUGAGAGGCAAGUGGAAUUCCGGGUGUAGCGGUGAAAUGCGUAGAUAUACGGAGGAACAUCAGUGGCGAAGGCGGAUAGCUGGACAGUAACUGACGCUGAGGCGCGAAAGCGUGGGUAGCAAACAGGAUUAGAUACCCUUGUAGUC